AAUAAUGUGAGGUGUGCCGUAGAGUCAAUUUGGAUCACAAGUUUCUAAACAGUUCCUCGAUUAUCGGCUCCAAUUUGGUGUUUAAUUAGAUUGCAUUGUUAUGGACCAUUCUUUGGUAUAUGCAAUCUUAAUGUGGCUUUGAUAAAAAUCAAUCACAGAAGAAAAUAAACGUAAUCAAAGCAAGAAAGUCUCUUUUUCCCCAUGGAGCUAGAAACUUUCAAGGCUUCGUCAUUUUCAAAGAUCUUCUCUUGCUUCUCUGAAUCCUCACAAUCCAAAGGGCUUAUUGUUGUUUGUGAAGACGAUGUUUGUUAUUUGACGGAUAGGAAGAAAAAGAAAGACAAAGGAAAAGGAUCAAAAUGCAAGACAAUAAUUCAAAGAAGAAAAUGAUAAAAAGGUUCACAAACUUAUAUAUCCAAAGGAGAAAAUGGUAUCUAUUCCUUGCUGUUGUUUAGUUUCAUGUAAGCUUUUAAUUAUAAAUUGUGCCUGUAGUUGUGUUUAUCAUAAAUUAUAGAUUAUUAUGUAUAAAUGCGACUAAUAGGACCACUAUUGUACUUAUGAUGCACUUUCAAAGAUUACCUAAACUUUUACCAUUCUGAUCAAGGAUCGAAAUUUAAAAUAAUGUUUCGUUCUAAUUAGUAAACAAAUUCUGAAAUUGGCAUUUUUCUGUUUGUGUAAUGCUGAGAUUAGUAAAUUAACUCUGAUUCGAAUGAGAAUAAAAGUAGGUAAUUUUGUUUGAUGCUGAGAAUUGAAACCCA
rnacentral:lncRNA from 1 species